rnacentral:rRNA from 1 species
CACGUAGGGGGCAAGCGUUGUCCGGAAUCAUUGGGCGUAAAGCGCGUGUAGGCGGUUCGGUAAGUCGGCUGUGAAAGUCCAGGGCUCAACCCUGGGAUGCCGGUCGAUACUGCCGGACUAGAGUUCGGAAGAGGCGAGUGGAAUUCCCGGUGUAGCGGUGAAAUGCGCAGAUAUCGGGAGGAACACCAAUGGCGAAGGCAGCUCGCUGGGACGUUACUGACGCUGAGACGCGAAAGCGUGGGGAGCAAACAG